rnacentral:rRNA from 1 species
UACGGAGGGUGCAAGCGUUAUCCGGAUUCACUGGGUUUAAAGGGUGCGUAGGUGGGGAGGUAAGUCAGUGGUGAAAUCCCCGAGCUUAACUUGGGAACUGCCAUUGAUACUAUCUCUCUUGAAUACCUUGGAGGUGAGCGGAAUAUGUCAUGUAGCGGUGAAAUGCUUAGAUAUGACAUAGAACACCAAUUGCGAAGGCAGCUCACUACACGGUAAUUGACACUGAGGCACGAAAGCGUGGGGAUCAAACAGG